rnacentral:rRNA from 1 species
AUGCACGAAAGUGUGAUAAGGGAAUCCUAAGUGCUCAUGUUAUACAUGGGCUUUUGCUAAGAGUAAGUAUCUUGGCGAAUAAGUGGUGGGUAAGACUGGUGCCAGCCGCCGCGGUAACACCAGCGCCACGAGUGGGGACCAUGUUUAUUGGGUCUAAAGCGUCCGUAGCCGGCUUGUUAAAUCUUUUGUGAAAUCGUAGGGCUUAACCUUACGGCUUGCAAGAGACACUGGCAGGCUAGGAACCGGGAUGGGCAAGAGGUAUUCCAGGGGUAGCGGUAAAAUGUUAUAAUCCCUGGAGGACCACCUGUGGCGAAGGCGUCUUGCUAGAACGGAUUCGACGGUGAGGGACGAAAGCCAGGGGAGCGAUCCGGAUUAGAUACCCGAGUAGUCCUGGCUGUAAACGCUGUGAGCAAGGUGUUGCGUAAUCUUCGUGAUUGCGCAGUGUCGAAACGAAGGUGUUAAGCUCACCACCUGGGAAGUAUGGUCGCAAGACUGAAA